UGGGCGUAAAGCGCGCGUAGGUGGUUUGUUAAGUUGGAAGUGAAAGCCCCGGGCUCAACCUGGGAACUGCUUUCAAAACUGGCAAGCUAGAGUAUGGCAGAGGGUGGUGGAAUUUCCUGUGUAGCGGUGAAAUGCGUAGAGAUCAGGAAGAACAUCGGUGGCGAAGGCGCUCUGCUGGACCAUAACUGACACUCAGGGACGAAAGCUAGGGGAGCGAAUGGGAUUAGAUACCCCAGUAGUCCUAGCCGUAAACGAUGGAUACUAGGUGUUGUCUGUAUC
rnacentral:rRNA from 1 species